CUUCGACGUCGGAUUUGUACAAAUAAAGGUUAACAUUAAGGAACAAAACAGUCUCCUUGCAGGCAAAGUUGCUCUUAAACCCAAUUCUAGCCUUCAAAAAUUACACCGCAAGUCUCAACUGCCAAAGAACAGACAUGAACAAAGAACAUUGUAAAAGAUUAUAUUUGGAGAAACCAAAUUUCAGCCUGUGUUUGGGGAACCUGGUCAGGGAAUUUGGAACCAAGCUCCAGUUAUGAGAAAAUAAGAAAUGGGUCCAAACUCGGUCCUGCGAACAAUGCCACGAACGGGAGGGGACCCAUGCAGAGGCUGGCGAGGAGCAGUGGGAUGAGAAGAGAUUGGAGCUUCGAGGAUGUCAGAAGGCGGUUCAAGGACAGUAAAGAAUGAGAUGGUGUUUUAGAUUAUUGUGUCUUUAUUAAUGCAUUUCUCCAGUAUUUGGAGACUAAGAAACAAUGGUCGUCGUAAUCAUGUUUAAGUUUCUAACCAGAUGCUCGUGUAGGUGUUUGAAAACACACCAAUUGUAACUGCCUGGCA
rnacentral:lncRNA from 1 species